AACAAUUUCCCUGAACUGAGCUGUGUCACUCCAAGCAAAAGUCAAGAAACAAAAUAUAUCAGUGAUUGAUUUGAACGAAAUGAUACUUUGAAAUUUACACUCUAAAUUGGGAAAAGUACAAAUAAAACCCUAAGCAUUUCUUCGUCAUCAAUUUUGAUGCCAUGGAAAUCACUCUUCUCUCUUUCAGUUCUCCAAUCCACCACCGUCUUCAUAUUGGCCACAAAGAAGCGAGAUUCUUUGGGGGAUCCUCUUCCACCCUCGUAAGUAAUUUGUGUACUCACCGUGGAACAACUUAUAAGCACCCAGUUUUGAGGAUUUCACACAAGGCUCCUCAAUGUAGCAUGCAAGGAAUCUCUAAGAAGCUUGAAAAUGUACCAUGGCUGUUUGGUAGUCCUAAAUUUAUUGUUCAGAAUAAAUUUCCCAGAGAUGUAGUUGUUAGAUCUGAACUUACUGCAGCUGGGUCUGCUGAAGAUGGCUAUUUACUACCUGAGCUGAAAGUGGAAUCUAAAGUCAGGGGAGCUUGCUUUUAUGUUGUCACAGCCUUCAGUGCCAUAUUUCUUUUUGUGCUGAUGAUGGUUGGACAUCCAUUGGUACUCCUGUUUGAUCGCUACAGAAGAAAGUUCCACCAUUUUAUUGCCAAAGUGUGGGCUACACUGACUGUAGCACCAUUUUUCAAAAUUGAAUUUGAGGGAAUGGAGAAUCUGCCACCUCCAGAUACCCCUGCUGUGUAUGUUUCGAAUCAUCAGAGUUUUCUAGACAUAUAUACUCUUCUUACGUUAGGAAGAAGCUUCAAGUUCAUUAGCAAGACUGGUAUAUUUCUUUUUCCAAUAAUUGGGUGGGCAAUGUUUUUUUUGGGUGUCAUUCCUUUGAAGCGCAUGGACAGCCGAAGCCAGCUGGACUGUCUUAAACGAUGCAUGGAUUUGAUCAAGAAAGGAGCCUCUGUUUUUUUCUUUCCAGAGGGAACACGCAGUAAAGAUGGAAAACUAGGCACAUUCAAGAAAGGUGCUUUCAGUGUAGCUGCAAAGACAAAUACUCCACUCGUUCCUAUUACCCUUAUUGGAACUGGUCAAAUCAUGCCUGCAGGAAAGGAGGGUAUAGUGAACGUAGGAUCUGUGAAAGUAGUUAUACAUAAAACCAUUUUUGGAAAGGAAUCUGAUGUGUUAUGUAAAGAGGCUAGGAAGGCAAUCGAAAGUGUACUGACUCAAAGCUGAGAAAUAGACUGCAAAAAUGUGCUUCCUGAAGUGACCUAAUGUACUUAUACAAUCAAAUGCCUGCAUCUUCGUUGGAGAAUGGAUUCUCUCCUUUGAAAUUUGAAAUGAAAGAUCAUCCUUUCCUUAGGUGGGACUAUCUUAUUCAUGUUGGAACACCUGACAUUUGUUCUUCAGGAGAAAGUAGGAGGUUGCAUUGCACUUACAGAAGGAUUUUUAGAUGUCGGCAUCACUUAUGCUUAAGUUUGGACUUU